rnacentral:tRNA from 1 species
GGCAAAAUAGUGUACUGGCUUAAAGUACAGACUUCAAAAGUUAGAUUGACUAGGUUCACAUCCUAGUUCUGCCA